AUUGAACGCUGGCGGCAGGCCUAACACAUGCAAGUCGAACGGUAGCACAGAGGAGCUUGCUCCUUGGGUGACGAGUGGCGGACGGGUGAGUAAUGUCUGGGAAACUGCCCGAUGGAGGGGGAUAACUACUGGAAACGGUAGCUAAUACCGCAUAACGUCGCAAGACCAAAGAGGGGGACCUUCGGCCUCUUGCCAUCGGAUGUGCCCAGAUGGGAUUCGCUAGUAGGUGGGGUAACGGCUCACCUAGGCGACGAUCCCUAGCUGGUCUGAGAGGAUGACCAGCCACACUGGAACUGAGACACGGUCCAGACUCCGACGGGAGGCAGCAGUGGGGAAUAUUGGACAAUGGGCGCAAGCCUGAUGCAGCCAUGCCGCGUGUAUGAAGAAGGCCUUCGGGUUGUAAAGUACUUUCAGCGAGGAGGAAGGUGUUGUGGUUAAUAACCGCAGCAAUUGACGUUACUCGCAGAAGAAGCACCGGCUAACUCCGUGCCAGCAGCCGCAGUAA
rnacentral:rRNA from 1 species